rnacentral:rRNA from 1 species
GAUGAACGCUAGCUACAGGCUUAACACAUGCAAGUCGAGGGGAAACGAUAUUGGAAGCUUGCUUCUGAUAGGCGUCGACCGGCGCACGGGUGAGUAACGCGUAUCCAACCUGCCCAUCACUUGGGGAUAACCUUGUGAAAGUAAGACUAAUACCCAAUGACGUCUCUAGAAGACAUCUGAAAGAGAUUAAAGAUUUAUCGGUGAUGGAUGGGGAUGCGUCUGAUUAGCUUGUUGGCGGGGUAACGGCCCACCAAGGCGACGAUCAGUAGGGGUUCUGAGAGGAAGGUCCCCCACAUUGGAACUGAGACACGGUCCAAACUCCUACGGGAGGCAGCAGUGAGGAAUAUUGGUCAAUGGACGAGAGUCUGAACCAGCCAAGUAGCGUGCAGGAUGACGGCCCUAUGGGUUGUAAACUGCUUUUAUAAGGGAAUAAAGUGGGAGUCGUGACUCUUUUUG